rnacentral:rRNA from 1 species
CCAGACUCCUACGGGAGGCAGCAGUGGGGAAUAUUGCACAAUGGGGGAAACCCUGAUGCAGCGACGCCGCGUGAGCGAUGAAGUAUUUCGGUAUGUAAAGCUCUAUCAGCAGGGAAGAAAAUGACGGUACCUGACUAAGAAGCCCCGGCUAACUACGUGCCAGCAGCCGCGGUAAUACGUAGGGGGCAAGCGUUAUCCGGAUUUACUGGGUGUAAAGGGAGCGUAGACGGCUGUGCAAGCCAGAUGUGAAAGCCCGGGGCUCAACCCCGGGACUGCAUUUGGAACUGUGUGGCUGGAGUGCAGGAGGGGCAGGCGGAAUUCCUGGUGUAGCGGUGAAAUGCGUAGAUAUCAGGAGGAACACCGGUGGCGAAGGCGGCCUGCUGGACUGCGACUGACGUUGAGGCCCGAAAGCGUGGGGAGCAAACAGGAUUAGAUACCCGAGUA